rnacentral:tRNA from 1 species
GUAUCGGUGGUUCAGUGGUAGAAUGCUCGCCUGCCACGCGGGGUUCGAUUCCCGGCCGAUGCA